rnacentral:rRNA from 1 species
GGGGGCAACCCUGAUGGAGCAAUGCCGCGUGAGAGAAGAAGGCCUUAGGGUUGUAAAUCUCUGUUAUAAGGGAAGAAAGAUAGCUAGAGGAAAUGUUAGUUAGAAUACAAUACCUUAUGAGAAAGCCACGGCUAACUACGUGCCAGCAGCCGCGGUAAU